rnacentral:lncRNA from 1 species
AUGACAUUUAUUGUGCACUUUAUUUCUAUUAUUAUUAUUAUAUCAGCACCACUCCAGCUCAGACAUUAGCUCUUGGAGGCUGGGGACCCUGUAAGCUUCUGCAAAUUAUUUGUAGAAGAAAAAAAAAGGGGGACUACAUUUCCCAAGCUUUUCCAGCUAUAAAUACAAACAUCCAUAUAAGCUUACAUAAAUACAUCCAUAUAAGCUUAUAUGCAUCUUCUCUCUUUUAUAGUACCAAAGAGUCUGGAAGCUUACACUGGGGGUUGGCUCACAAAAGCUUCACGAGGAACGAUUCCUCCGCAUCCUGAAAGGUGACUCUCAGUGGUGGGAUGACCACAGUCGGCUGGGUCCCAGCCAGCCAGGAGUAGCAAAGAGAUUCAGCAGCUGCUGGAAAUGCUUUGGGUUUUCUCAGCAACCGUGCUAUGGACAUGGGACUGAGGCUGGAGUGUCAUUACCAGUUGUGACAACUGUGAUCCCUAAUUACAGUGCGCUGCCUACCCUGCAGCUGUUCCAAGUUUCACUAGAUAUGGGGUACUUUCAUUCAUCCUGUGUUUCCCAGGGAAUUGGUGUGUGUGUGAUUGAGAUUAGUCGAUGUAAACGACUUCACUGCUCUCAGUGGCUGUCCUUCAGAAUGCUAGAGGUGGUCUGAGAGUCUGGAAGGGGUCUUGAUUCUUUACUGCAGAAACCCAGAUGGCCCGUCAGCUGGCUCCUUCUGCGCACACAGCAGACAGGCCCCUUUGUUCUAUGAGCAUGUUGACUACAGCUGCAGUUACCUGGUGACAGGAUGAAAUUACACAGACAGCAGUUUACUAGCAUACCCCCCACUCCGUAGUCAAUUUCUGAGCGUAAGCCACUCUUCCAGGGAGCAUGUAAUUUUCAUACCUGUUUAAUUUCAAUCCUCUCUUGCUUGACCGAGUGAUUUCUCACCCUUUAUAGAUGGUGCCAUACACCCCUCAAUUGGAUUUCUUCUCCCUGCUGGUAGAGUUUGUUCUUGCCUGAAGUGUUGAGAGAAACAGUUCUCUAAAAGCAGUUAAUUUAAUUGAGAUUGCACAUACACACACAUGCACACAAGUACACGGGGUUUUUUUUUUCCUCCCUGUUUCUGACACACAAGCGAAUUGUUUCUAUAUUUUUCUUUCCCAGUUUGUUAACUAUUUAUUCGUGGCCUCACAAAGCAAGCUUCCACACAGAUAAAUAUGAAGCCUAUUACAGCUAGAAUUUUUUUGAAG